AGGGCGAUUUUAUUAUCUCAAAUGUAGCAUCAAGCGGAUACAAAACAUUAUGAGUAACACCCGGUCUCUGCAUAAUUAGGAUGCACACAGCCAAACACCAAAGUCUGACACUAGAAAAAGUAAGAAAACCGACAAUACGACAACAGUAGAGUCCUAUGGACCGACACUUUGCCUAUGUCGAACUCGGCGGUGGAUGGAUCCGGAGGUUAUGCUGCCACCCAUGUUGGGAAAAA
rnacentral:rRNA from 1 species